CGGUCCUACGGGGGGCAGCAGUGGGGAAUAUUGCACAAUGGGGGAAACCCUGAUGCAGCGACGCCGCGUGGGUGAAGAAGUAUUUCGGUAUGUAAAGCCCUAUCAGCAGGGAAGAAAAUGACGGUACCUGACUAAGAAGCCCCGGCUAACUACGUGCCAGCAGCCGCGGUAAUACGGAGGAUGCGAGCGUUAUCCGGAUUUAUUGGGUUUAAAGGGUGCGUAGGCGGUCCGUUAAGUCAGCGGUAAAAUUGCGGGGCUCAACCCCGUCGAGCCGUUGAAACUGCCAGAC
rnacentral:rRNA from 1 species